CCUACGGGUGGCUGCAGUGAGGAAUAUUGGUCAAUGGACGAGAGUCUGAACCAGCCAAGUAGCGUGAAGGAUGACUGCCCUAUGGGUUGUAAACUUCUUUUAUAAAGGAAUAAAACGAGGCACGUGUGCCUUUUGGCAAGUACUUUAUGAAUAAGGAUCGGCUAACUCCGUGCCAGCAGCCGCGGUAAUACGGAGGAUUCGAGCGUUAUCCGGAUUUAUUGGGGUUAAAGGGAGCGUAGAUGGGUUGUUAAGUCAGUUGUGAAAGUUUGCGGCUCAACCGUAAAAUUGCAAUUGAUACUGGCAGCCUUGAGUACAGGUGAGGUAGGCGGAAUUCGUGGUGUAGCGGUGAAAUGCAUAGAUAUCACGAAGAACCCCGAUUGCGAAGGCAGCUUACUAACCUGUGACUGACAUUGAUGCUCGAAAGUGUGGGUAUCAAACAGGAUUAGAUACCCCUGUAGUC
rnacentral:rRNA from 1 species